rnacentral:misc_RNA from 1 species
GAUGAAGAACGUAGCGAAAUGCGAUAAGUAAUGUGAAUUGCAGAAUUCAGUGAAUCAUCGAAUCUUUGAACGCACAUUGCGCCCGCCAGUAUUCUGGCGGGCAUGCCUGUUCGAGCGUCAUUUCAACCAUCAAGCCCCCGGCUUGUGUUGGGGACCUGCGGCUGCCGCAGGCCCUGAAAAGCAGUGGCGGGCUCGCUGUCACACCGAGCGUAGUAGCAUACAUCUCGCUCUGGGCGUGCUGCGGGUUCCGGCCGUUAAACCACCUUCAUAACCCAAGGUUGACCUCGGAUCAGGUAGGAAGACCCGCUGAACUUAAGCAUAUCAAUAAGCGGAG